UACGUAGGGGGCGAGCGUUGUCCGGAUUUACUGGGCGUAAAGAGCGCGUAGGCGGAAAUUUAAGCGUGGCCUGAAAGCCCCCGGCUCAACCGGGGAGUGCGGCUGCGAACUGGAUUUCUUGAGGACGAUAGAGGAGAGUGGAAUUCCUGGUGUAGCAGUGAAAUGCGUAGAUAUCAGGAGGAACACCGAUGGCGAAGGCAGGUCUCUGGGCUGACACUGACGCUCAUGCACGAAAGCGUGGGGGGCAAACAGG
rnacentral:rRNA from 1 species